UUACACAGAGAAGUUUCCUUAACUACUGUUUGUUCUAGAAACUGGAACAACUCAAUCAAUAUCCAGAUUUUAACAACUAUUUGAUUUUUGUUCUAACAAAAUUAAAAUCUGAAGAUGAACCCACAAGAUCCUUGAGUGGUCUCAUCUUGAAGAAUAAUGUGAAAGCACAUUUUCAGAACUUUCCAAAUGGUGUAACAGACUUUAUUAAAAGUGAAUGUUUAAGUAAUAUUGGUGACUCCUCUCCUCUGAUUAGAGCUACUGUUGGUAUUUUGAUUACAACCAUAGCCUCCAAGGGAGAAUUGCAGAAUUGGCCUGACCUCUUACCAAAACUCUGUAGCCUGUUAGAUUCUGAAGAUUACAACACUUGUGAGGGAGCCUUUGGUGCCCUUCAAAAGAUAUGUGAAGAUUCUGCUGAGAUUUAGAUAGCGAUGUUUUAGAUCGUCCUCUCAACAUCAUGAUUCCCAAGUUUUUGCAGUUCUUCAAGCACAGUAGUCCAAAAAUAAGGUCUCAUGCUGUUGCAUGUGUCAAUCAGUUUAUCAUCAGUAGGACUCAAGCUCUGAUGUUGCACAUAGAUUCUUUUAUUGAGAAUCUGUUUGCAUUGGCUGGUGAUGAAGAACCAGAGGUGCGGAAAAAUGUAUGCCGGGCUCUUGUGAUGCUGCUGGAAGUUCGGAUGGAUCGCCUACUUCCUCACAUGCAUAAUAUAGUUGAGUACAUGCUACAGAGGACUCAAGAUCAAGAUGAAAAUGUGGCUUUAGAAGCCUGCGAAUUUUGGCUAACUUUGGCUGAGCAGCCAAUAUGCAAAGAUGUACUCAUAAGGCAUCUUCCUAAGUUGAUUCCUGUGUUGGUGAAUGGCAUGAAGUACUCAGAUAUUGAUAUUAUCCUACUUAAGGGUGACGUUGAAGAAGAUGAAACGAUUCCCGAUAGCGAGCAGGAUAUAAGGCCACGUUUUCAUCGAUCAAGGACAGUAGCUCAGCAGCAUGAUGAAGAUGGAAUUGAAGAGGAAGAUGAUGAUGAUGAUGAAAUGGAUGAUGACGAUACAAUUUCGGACUGGAAUCUCAGAAAAUGUUCUGCUGCUGCCCUAGACGUGCUUGCAAAUGUGUACCGUGAUGAACUGCUGCCACACAUUUUGCCCCUUUUGAAAGAAUUACUUUUUCAUCAUGAGUGGGUUGUUAAAGAGUCAGGCAUCUUGGUUUUAGGAGCCAUUGCUGAAGGUUGCAUGCAGGGCAUGAUUCCGUACCUGCCUGAGCUUAUUCCUCACCUUAUUCAGUGCCUCUCUGAUAAAAAGGCUCUCGUGCGUUCCAUAACAUGCUGGACUCUUAGCCGCUAUGCACACUGGGUAGUCAGCCAGCCGCCAGACACGUACCUGAAGCCGUUAAUGACCGAAUUGCUAAAGCGUAUCCUGGAUAGCAACAAGAGAGUACAAGAAGCUGCCUGCAGUGCCUUUGCUACCCUAGAAGAGGAGGCUUGUACAGAACUUGUUCCUUACCUUGCGUACAUCCUUGACACCCUGGUCUUUGCAUUUAGUAAAUACCAGCAUAAGAACCUGCUCAUUCUUUAUGAUGCCAUAGGAACAUUAGCAGAUUCAGUAGGCCAUCAUUUAAAUAAACCGGAAUAUAUUCAGAUGCUAAUGCCUCCACUUAUUCAGAAAUGGAACAUGUUAAAGGAUGAAGAUAAAGAUCUCUUCCCUUUACUUGAGUGCCUGUCUUCGGUUGCCACCGCCCUGCAGUCUGGCUUCCUUCCCUACUGUGAACCCGUGUAUCAGCGCUGUGUCAACCUGGUACAGAAGACUCUUGCACAAGCCAUGCUGAAUAACGCUCAACCAGAUCAGUAUGAGGCUCCAGAUAAAGAUUUUAUGAUAGUGGCUCUUGAUUUACUGAGUGGCCUGACAGAAGGACUUGGAGGCAACAUUGAACAGCUGGUAGCCCGAAGUAACAUCCUAACGCUGAUGUAUCAAUGCAUGCAGGAUAAGAUGCCAGAAGUUCGACAGAGUUCUUUUGCCCUCUUAGGUGACCUGACAAAAGCUUGCUUUCAGCAUGUUAAGCCUUGUAUAGCCGAUUUCAUGCCAAUAUUGGGAACCAACCUAAAUCCAGAGUUCAUUUCAGUCUGCAACAAUGCCACAUGGGCAACUGGAGAAAUUUCCAUUCAAAUGGGUAUAGAGAUGCAGCCUUAUAUUCCUAUGGUGUUGCACCAGCUGGUAGAGAUCAUUAACAGACCCAACACACCAAAGACGUUGUUAGAGAAUACAGCAAUAACAAUUGGUCGUCUUGGUUACGUUUGUCCUCAAGAGGUGGCCCCCAUGCUACAGCAGUUUAUAAGACCCUGGUGCACCUCUCUGAGAAACAUAAGAGACAAUGAGGAAAAGGAUUCAGCGUUCCGUGGGAUUUGUGCCAUGAUCAGUGUAAAUCCCAGUGGCGUAAUCCAAGUAAGGAUUUUAUAUUUUUUUGUGAUGCUGUUGCAUCAUGGAUUAACCCAAAAGAUGAUCUCAGAGAUAUGUUCUGUAAGAUCCUUCAUGGAUUUAAAAAUCAAGUUGGGGAUGAAAAUUGGAGGCGUUUCUCUGACCAGUUUCCUCUUCCAUUGAAAGAGCGUCUUGCAGCUUUUUAUGGUGUUUAAUCUAAUACACUUAAGCUGCAGUCCCAAAAUUAGGGGUCCUUCAGUCUUGGAGACUAUGAGGGAGCCUCUGCACCCAGGGAAAAUGUUGCCCUUUACAGGGGGGAAGGGUAAACCAGUAGGGAAUGCAGUACAAUCCCAACCCUACUGGGAGGGGUGGGAGGGAGGUGUUGCCGUCACUGUAUUAAGUCGAUGUUGGGAAACGUUUUAACAUCUGGAGCCUUUGUGGGUGGAAAUCUGUCUCCAAUUACAACUCCGAACUGGAUGUGAAGAAGCAAAAAAAAAAAAAUCUAUUUAGUCUGCUCACAAAACAGUACAUUCUGGAAUAUUAUGGGGAAUUGUACCAAAACAAGAACCAUAUAAGUGAUGCAUAGGGAUAAGAAAGAGGAAAAAUUCUAUAGCGCACAAUGAAGGAAACCUAAGAAUGGGGGUUACAAGCAGUAAAGAAACUUUUUUUUUUAAUUUAAAGGUUUUCAUAUAAAUUUUUCCACUUGGUGGGGCCUUGUUUUGCAUGCUGAUGAAGAAUUAAGCAAAACUAAUAGAAUCAAAAUCAGCUUGCCUUCCCAUAGUAGAAGUAGGUUCUUGGAAGUUACAAUUUAAGGUACCCCCCAAAAAAGUUGGAAGUAAAACAAAACAAAUUUAAACAAGCACCCUGUGAAAUGCCAAAUGAGUCACUCCUUUUACCUUUGUGGGCGGGCAGGGAGGGAGGAAUAAAUAGGGUUGGGUGUAUCAAACUAAAGAUGACAUCUUAAUUUUGCAUUAAACAUUAAUGUAGUGGAUAUGAUUUGAUGGUUGUACUUCAUUAGAUUUAAUUUCUAGGCCAAGACGUCAUUUUCAAAGUGCAGUUUAAGGUUCAGGCAUGCAUUCUGGCUCAUAGUGAUUGAAAGUCAUUUAAAUUAGUGGGAAAGUAGCAUGCUUGCAUCACAUAGAGUGAGGUUGGUAUCAUUUACCUGUGUUGCGCCAGUUUGUGUUGCAGUUUACCAAUUCAACAUAGCCCUGCAUUUAAAAUUCCUUUUUAAGAUUUGUGGAUUUUAUUUUUAUUAAGAAUAUAGAUAUAUAAAGUACUGUAGUUUACAGCUAGGCCUUGAAAUAUCUUUUUUAGGAUCUGUUAGGAAUAAGAUUGAUAUUGUAUUGUGUGUAACCUGCACAAUGUGGAAAGCUGAUAUACCUGUGCAAAAUCUUUGCCUCUGUGCUGUCAGUGUGAUGUGCUUUCUGCAUGGUUAUAUACUACUAGUGAUUUUAUCAAAACUUAAAAAUUAAAUUACAUGGUAAAAGAUCUGUAAAAGGCUACAUAAAUGUUAGUUGGCACAUAAAGACAAUUGUAGAAGUUGAAAAAUGAUUGCUAUAUUUCCAUGUUUAUUCCCACUCAACAUAUUGCCUUCUAAGCUUUCUUUUUUUUGUUCAAAGCAUGAUCUUAAAGAUAUGUUUGAGUUAAUGGAUGUAAUGCAGGGUUCCUACACUGUAUUGGCGCAUGUUGGUGGCCCUCUGUGCCCUAGAUGUUUGCACACAGGGUGCAAGUCAAAAGCUACAGAGUGAAAGUUGGUUUGGAUCCUCUUCAUUUCAUUUGUUUAGCUUUUCUGUUAUUUUCCUCUACUUACAUGUAUUCCUGUGAAUAAAUCCUUGUUAAGUUAACCCUUUACUUUUCCUUUCAUGUGUAUUUUCUUAUAUACUGUGAAUGUGAAAACCUAACUGGUACACUUGAUCUUGUGUCCAUAUGAAAGUGCAAGUCUUUAUUAAUUUGGAUUGCCUGAGCAGUGUAUCCCAUGAUGAUGAAGGAAAAUGGAGAGAUUUUUCUUUUUAACUCUGCUGGUCAGAGAUGAAGCCACACCUUUCCAUUUUUCAAUGCUGCAUAUUUAAUCUGCAACAAAAAUGUUAAGCCAUAACAGCCUUUUUAUAUUUUAGUUUGUCACCUUUGCAUUGCAGAAUAAAUACUGAAUAACCAUUUUUAUAAGCAGUUGCUCCUCUUUGCAUGGUUCUAUUCUCUAAAAGUGUUGAAUGAUACUGCCAUUGCACUGAAGUUCGAACUGUGUGUGUGUGAAUUUAUACUGUUUCAAAAAAUUUCAAACGCAUGGGAGCAUGCAGAAAGGUUUUUGUUGUGUGUGUGUGUGUGUUUUUAAACAUGUUCUUUCACCUCCUUUCCUCUACUUUGGCUUUGCAAAUUUCAGUCUGUAGAGCCUGAAAUUAUUUUGUAACAUCCAAUUAAAAAACAAAACAAAACAUAAGCUUUAAACCGUAUGUGGCAUUUUGAUUUCUAGGACCAUCGCUUCAUUGGGAGCUCAAAAUUUGCUUCCUGGUUAGUUUUUAAUUAUUGAUUGAAUAGGGUACCUAUUUUAUCCUUAAACUAUAGUGAUAUUCUGUAGUACUUCACAUACUUUUUAAGAGCUUAAUAUGAAAACUCUUUUAAUAUUCUGAAAUAAGUAAUAUUUUAAAUGAAAGAAAUGGCCAAAUUUUUCUCUAAAACGUAAAACAACUUUCAGUAAAGUUAUCUGGACCUGUGAUUGAAAAUUCUAUAUUGGCUAAAAGCAGUAUUGUCACCUGUCUGAUUAAAAAUUAGUUUCCAAUUAGUCAGAUGAAUAACAUUAUAAGAAUGUGACCCCUUUUUUGGAGUCACUUUGAUGUGUUUUGAAACUUAAAGGAAAUUAUUAGAAAAUAAAAUUAAGUAAAUAUGACUGGCAACCUCAGAUUGGGUUGGGGUUUUUUGUAUAUUUUUCCCCCCUUGAGGUUAUUGUUUCUUCCUAAUUUAUACCAUGUUUCAGAUACAUAGUAUAGAACAGGAAUUUGCAGAAGCCAUUUAAGUUAUCUUUUGAGGUAAGCCCUGAUUUAGCAUUUAUUCUGAUAAAACCUAAUACAUCAUGGGAUAUAUAUACAAAGCAACUUAAGUCUUGUGGUAUAGUCUUAAUAGUUUUGACUGUUGACUGACUGUCUAUGAAAUUGUGAGUUUGUCUUUGUUACAUUCCAGUGUUUCUGCCUCUUGGCAUGCUUAAAGCACGGCUUACUUCAUCUGCUCCUUACACACUCAAAUGCUGUUAGUGUGCCCAGCUACAGAAAUAGCCGCUGCUGAGUGAUGUAGAUUUUCUACUUGAAUAUUUGUAUGUUGUAGGAACCUCAGGAGGUCAGUGUUUACUGUUUUAUAUAUGCCUUCUUUUUCCUGUUUGAGCUUCUCUCUUUGAAGGAUUCUAACAGAACAAAAGCUGCUGAUCAACCUAAGUUGGAAACAGAAAGUGUAUUUAAUGUAAUUUAAAUGCAUGUUUGGCAGUUCCAUGUUAAAGUCCAUUAGCAAGUGAAUUUAGUGCCACAGGUAUUCAUUUAUUCAGGAAAGACUUUUGCUUUUUGUAUUGUCUAAUCUCUUUAAUGACUUCAUAUUGUGUAAAAAAAAAAAUCACUUUUUUAUAUUUUUGGUUGGUUAUUUCCCAGAUAAUCAACUUGUAAAUAAUCUUUAAGAGCCAGUUCUGAUGCUUUACAUUAUUGCUACUUGAUUUUGUUACGCAAGUUAGAUUUCAGAAGGAUAAAUUUCAAAACACUUAACCAAGCCAUUGCAUCUUAAAGCAAAACAAGUAGCACACAUUUUGUAAUUAACAUAUUGAUCAACACUGUGAUUUUUUUGGUUAAGACUUUUUCAUUGAUCUGAAUUGCUUAAAUUGCAUAUAUUGUAAAAUAGGAUCAGAUCUAUAUUUUAAACUAAUUUCAACUGACUUUCCUCUUGAAAUGCUUUGUCUACUCAGUUAUAAAAUAUUCAGAUACAAGUUUUAUCUCAGGUGAAUACUCUUGUAUCAUUUUUGCUUUGGUGACAUACGCUUAUAAAGGGUUGUCAUGUUUGUUUUUUAGUGUCUUUCAUUGAGAAUCUUCCCAUUUAGGCUGGGUUUUUGUUUUUUCCUGUUAUUCUAAUAGACUGGGAUGGUAUAAAGCCCUCCUGUCAAACAUUUUGCUUGCAGAUUUACCUGAAAAUGAGUAAAGUUUGGUUCUCAUUUUCUCCAAAUCUUCAAAAUAGGAAAGUGGACAUUUUUCUCCCCUAUAAAAAAUUAUUGUGCUUAGCAGAAAUGCCAGAAUUAAACUAAUUAAGUCUUAAGCUCUUAGCCUAAAUUGUAAGUCCUUUGCCAUGAGGAAAAAGUGAUUUUUUGCUUCACAUAGCUAAUCUAUAUUAUUCAUAUUGAAUGUAUUAACAGAUAAUGGUGCAAAAACACUCUUCCCAAGAGAAGAGUGUAUCAUGCAUAACUGAAAUUUAAAUCCUUCCUUUGGUAGUACUUUAAAACACACAGCUUUGCUUACUGAAUUAUUUUUGCAAAUUAUACAAGGGUGGAAAACACUAACUGUUGCUAGUACUGUUACAGAAGGUGUAGGCUUGGAACCGCUUAAGCUUAAGAAAACUGUGGUCUUUGAGUUGCUAAAGGCCUGGGAUAACCUAAAUGAAAAAUGAGAUCAAGGAGCUGUGUUGUUAACAAUAUUAUCUAGUACCAUGCAAUAUAGCAUUGUAUACCAACUUAGUGCAUUUUUAUAUUGUAUUAAAUAUGAAGAUACUUCUAAUGCCUCUUUAAAAUUAAUUUUUACAUAAAAGUUGGUUUUAUUCACCUGUACACUUUCCAGGUGACUUGUGACUAAUUUUUUGUCUUGUAUGGAUCUUUACCCCAUUGGCAUUAUUUACAUGUAGAUAAUUCUUUAUGCCUAAUUAUUAUACAUCCUAAUUUUUAAGGUAUACAUUUAAAUUACAGCAACUGUUUAUUGUGGUUUGUAUCUCAGAAUGUAUUGUGUUUAAACAGAUGCAUAAUAGUUGAAUGUAUGCAUAAGCUUGAGAGAAGUUAAAAUGGUGAUUUAUUUUUCUCACCUCUUGUAUAUUUUAAAACCAAGCCAAAUCUGUUUGCCAAGCAGUAUAUCACUAAAUAGAAAACCAGUAGUUUUCGCUUUAUUAACAGUUUUUGUUUAUCUACCAUGGAAUCUACUUAUACUGUGGCUUGGUAUUAUGCAGGAUUAGCUGUUUUACAGGUCUUACAUCUUUCUAAAAGCCUACUAUUAUAACAUGGUUAGCCUAUAAGGCAGUGUUGGUCCCCUUCUAAUACUGGCCUCAUAAAGGGGUUCCACUGUACUUUCCUCAUAUUACUUUGUUGUUGUUUUCCUUUGUGAAUAUGUAACCAAAUUGAGCUUGAGUGAUUUUUACGGAGAUAAUUAUUAGACAAUACUGUAUAAUUAAUUUUGCUUAAUAGACUCAUCUUGUGAGAAAAGAUGUUUAAACGUGUUAAAUGAUUUCACUUCAUAUUUUAAAACAGUUUUACACUUAAUAUGUUAACAUUGGGUGCAAUAAUUUAGUAGUGUUAGCUUUAGUUAUAAAUAACUGGAUCUUUCUGCUGACAACUUAGGUUGUAUGAGUUAUGCUUAAAAGCUUUAAAUCUGAUGUUUCCUGUACCUGCCACACUAUGUUAGAAUGUGUCCUUCAAACAUAUCCUCCUGCAACUUCUCAAACUGUACUAAAUUGAUAUUUCUUGAAGUCUAACUCUGUGCUAACAGAUCUUCAUUUUAAAUAGAAUACGGUUUUAAUUUUUGAUAAGCUGCUGAAUUUUAAAGAGAGUUUUUUGGGGCCACCAAAUAUUUUGGAUCAUGCAGAGAAUAUAUAUUGUACUGUAGUAAUUUUGUAUUUACAUUUGUAUGAUGUGACAUAAUAGAUGUGAAUGUUAAUCACUGCUUGACUAUGUUAAUAAAGUUGUUUAACUAUA